rnacentral:tRNA from 1 species
GCGGGAUUGACCGAAUGGUCAGGCAGCAGCCUUCCAAGCUGUUUACAGGGGUUCGAUCCCCCUAUCCCGCUCCA